rnacentral:rRNA from 1 species
GACGAACGCUAGCGGCGUGCCUAAGGUAUGCAAGUCGAACGGGGGCUUCGGCCCCAGUGGCGAACGGUCGAGUAACACGUAGACAACCUGCCUCCAAGUGGGGGAUAACAGCGGGAAACUGCGGCUAAUACCGGAUGUACCCGUGAGGGGAAAGAUUUAUCGCCGAUGGAGGGCCCGCGUCCGAUUAGGUAGUUGGUGGG